CCCCGCAGCCCUGGGCGGGCAGGGGCGAUUGCUGCAGCCCGGGCUGCGCACCCGCUGGAUCGCAGCCCAGGAAAGCGAAGCCGAUGCGUGGAGCCUCCGCAAACUGGACGAGAAUCCAUCUUCCCUUGAGCUGGGCAUAGACUUUGUAAAAGAUAUUAUGUAAUGGAGACUCGGGCCGCUCGAGCCGUCUCCGGCGAAGCUGCUGGUGAAUUAAUUAAGGGCAUUAAAUGGUCUUAGGUCAAUAUUCCGCGGGGGGGAGUUGGGGGUGCGGAGGACUCCUGGGGACCACUGCGACUUGAGUGGAAUUUUCACUGAAUGCGUCUUCUAUGUUUUGUCGCCCUGCUGUCUGUGCCGAGGUGCUCUGUGACGGAAGAGGGGGACAGGAAGGUAGCAGAGCUGAGCCCUCCCUGAAGGAAGGCCGAAUACAAGUCUUGACGCUGGAGCCGUAGAUCUCAUGCACCAUUAAUGUGAUCUGACGUUACCGUUUUGUUUCGUCAAGCCCGUGGGCAAAAGUGGUGGGUCUUUUUAUUUGUUGUGAGUGUAUUAAUAAAACGAACGUGUAGUAAAAUAUUCUUUGUGACGAACCAGGUAAAGAAGCAACUGAUGUGAUGCAAAAUACGUCAUUGAAACCUCGAUUCUCUCCUGUGAUUGUCAGAAGAGGUUCUCCUGGUGAUGGCUCUGAUCAUUGAUCGUGAAUACUUCCAAAAUAAGCUAUUGAAAGGGAUGGUUGGGGGCGGAGAGAAUCUUCCAAACUGGUAAAGAACUCCGGUCUGAAAGGAAGGGAAAUGAAUGUAUUUCUGGAAGAAGACACAGUCCGCCCUCUAUUGGCCACUGCACAGAUGCGACUCCAACUUCUUAUAAUCUCUGUGAGGUUCCUCUUCAAAGGAAGAUUUGUCACUGUUGGGAGUAUUGAAAGAGCCAAAACACGUUCUAGAGGAAAUCAAAAGAAGAGCUUUAUUAAAAAAAAAAAAAAAGUAGGCGUUGGUAGUAUUCAUGCAACAAGUGCACACACACUUUCUCCAAGUGACUGUUGACAAGGAGCCAUCAUGUAUCGAAACCACCACAGGUUGAGGAGCUUCCCUUGGCCACUGCCAUCCCCUUUGCAUGAUGCUUCUGCUUUGAAGCCAACUGACCAUGGACUGAAACCGCUGAAACUGUGAGUCAAAAUAAACUCCCCCUUCAAGUUUUGGGCAUCAGCCAUUGUGUCCCAGCAAUGAAAAUCUGACCAAUCACACAAGCCCACUGCUUAGUAUGGGAAUCAACAGUUUCACCAUAGCGUAACAGCAAUUUGCUAAGUUAAGUCUAUGUGAAAAAAAUUGAAGAAAGGUUCACAAAAGUUUUUCAUGAAAAAGCAGAUAGUUGGGUUGGAUCUUGAAGGAAAAAUAUAAAUUUACCAGUUUCAUGGGGUGGAGGGCAGGAAGAGAAAAAAGAUUGUAAGUGAUGAAACGAUGAAGUUUCUAGAACAGCGUUUUUACAUAGCAGGUAUUCAGUAAAUGUUUUUGAAGGAGAGAAGAGAAGAUGUGCUUUUGCAAUGGGAGAAAAAACUAACUUUGAUAUAAUGGGUGCUCCUGGGUGAGUCUUAGGACAUGAGGAUGGCGAGAGGGGACCAGGUAGUGAAGAUCCAAAUCAAUAGCAGAGUUUAGACUUUGUCCUCUGUGGGAGCUUUCAGAGACAAAUGAAUUCAUCAAAUUCUUAGUGUGAAAAGAUACUGCAUUUCACUGAUUCUAAGAUAUACUUGUAAAAUAUUUUAACAACUCCGAAAGUAAGACGUACCUUACAAUUGAUGGCGUGUCAUAGUUUAAUUGACAGUUGUUUUUUUUUUUUCUUUCUCAGCGGUAUAUAAAAUAAUGUUGUUGCUUACAAAUGGUAGCAUCUUCCACAGAGUGAAAAACUGAAAUUGUGGUGGAAGAGUAACAGAGGGACAGUGCAGGGAAACAAGGAAACCCAUCGGGAGACUGCUCAAAUAGCCUAACUGUGAGAUAAUGAGCUGUGGUGUGAAAUCAAAUAUGCUGCAGCAGAGCUUGAAAUUCCAAAAUAGAUUAGGUGUUGCCAAGUUGAAUGGGUUAAAUCUUCCUCCUGGUUUUCCAUUUUGCUACCUGACUUGCCUUCCUGCACUCUUGGAACCUGAGGAAAAGCUGCUGACUUUUCACUACAAUCAUAUUUUCUCAGAUGACUAGCUUAGGUAUAAAUAGUAUUAUUUAAUUACUGUUAGGCGUAAAGAUUUUGUGAGACAAGUACAAUGCUUUGUACUCCAAGUGAGACUAUCAAGGGCUACUCUACCCAACAUGUCUGCUUUUUGCUGUGAAAUGUCUUAUAAAAAUAAAGAAAAUGUAUACCCCUGGGUGAGGCUUCAGUGGUCUCCAGGUCCAGCACCUCCCUUUACAGAGAAGAAAGAUGAAGUCCCGAGGUGCUGAUUACUUUAUAUUUGCUGACUCUUAGCAGCCUCAUCCUCGGUGGGUGUGGCUUGGAAUCCUCCAUGCUGCUCUGUAACAGGAGGUUACCUGUUUAUCUCGAGAUUAGCUCUAUCUCCUGUUCUCUUCCUGAGCACACAGGGCAAAAGAUCUGCCUCCACAGCUGCCACAAUUUUAGUAAUUUUGUUCCCAGUUCCUCUCUUCGUAACUGGCUCAUUCUGUAGUGGAAAUCUUUCUCCUUUUGCCCUGACACUUUGUUUUCUGUGUGUUAAUCUCUGCUGAUUUUAUGAUGGUGUCUAAUAUUGGGAUCUCUUGCUUGGGCAUUGGGGCCGACUUUCUUUCCUUCCUUCCUUCUGUCUUUCCUUCCUUCCUUCCU